UUUUUUUUUUUUUUUUUGAGGGUGCUUUUAGUUCCCUUGACAGGACACAUAAAACUAGAAAAAAAAUUGAGGUGCUUUCUGUGCGGUCCAGAUCUGGAGUCUCUCCCUCUGCUAUGUAUGGUGUAUAUUGCAUGGACUAUCAGUAUCCUCUUGUCCAGGGUAACCAGGAGCCAACAACAACUCCUGACGCAAUGGUUCAGCCUUUUACUACCAUCCCAUUCCCACCACCUCCACAGAACGGAAUUCCCACAGAAUAUGGAGUGCCACACACUCAGGACUAUGCCGGCCAGACCAGUGAACAUAACCUGACACUCUACGGGAGUUCACAGCCCCAUGGAGAACAGAGUAGCAAUUCACCCAGCAACCAGAAUGGAUCUCUCACGCAGACAGAAGGUGGAGCACAGACAGACGGACAACAGUCACAGACACAAAGUAGUGAAAAUUCAGAGAGUAAAUCCACGCCCAAGCGACUACAUGUCUCUAAUAUUCCCUUCCGCUU
rnacentral:lncRNA from 1 species